rnacentral:lncRNA from 1 species
CUUCUUUUUGUAUAAGAUCGAGGAUCCUGGGAAAGUUCAGUCAGAUGCUGCCUCCAUUUGCCUGAGUCUCAAGGGGCAGGGUGCAUUCCUUGGGUCACCUCAGAGGCAUACAAAGAAUGCAAAGACACAUUUUAAACUCUGAAAUGGAUGUAGGAAGCUGAAUUAUCACCAAAGGCCACAGCUUCACACUCCCUGCUUUCUAAGAACUUCUGCGUCAGUCAGAAAGGAGGAAGUGAAACCCAUUAAUUAGAUGAAUAAAGCAGAAUUAGUCCUGCCAGGAAACUGAGCUUCCCGCCUCCGCAGAAGCGCCCAGUGUCGGGUCCCUCCUGGAGCACCCACCAGUAAGUGGUCCUGGUAAGAAUUUGGGGCAGAACUCUACUUGUAAGGAUUUGGAGCCUGGUUGAAGCUUGUCAUCUGGGAUGCCUCGUGAACAGUGGAGAAAGGAGGUCUCUGCAGGAAGCACUCAUCCCGUUUAUCUCGGGUGCAUCAGGGUGGGAUAAAUCAUCUCCUGAUGGUGCCCAUCCUUCUCCAUAACUGGACAGCCUAUGUGGACUCUACAGACUAGAGAUCAAACAACUCCUCAGGUACUAACACUUAAACUGCACUUAUCGGUAAUUGAAAAUUCUAUAGCAUGAAUAUAUGUGUAUGAAGUUAAAAGAUUUUCUGCUGGGGA